rnacentral:rRNA from 1 species
GAUGAACGCUGGCGGCGUGCUUAACACAUGCAAGUCGAACGGUGAAGCAGGAGCUUGCUCUUGUGGAUCAGUGGCGAACGGGUGAGUAACACGUGAGCAACCUGCCUCUGACUCUGGGAUAAGCGCUGGAAACGGCGUCUAAUACUGGAUAUGUGAUGUGACCGCAUGGUCUGCAUCUGGAAAGAAUUUCGGUUGGGGAUGGGCUCGCGGCCUAUCAGCUUGUUGGUGAGGUAAUGGCUCACCAAGGCGUCGACGGGUAGCCGGCCUGAGAGGGUGACCGGCCACACUGGGACUGAGACACGGCCAAGACUCCUACGGGAGGCAGCAGUGGGGAAUAUUGCACAAUGGGCGGAAGCCUGAUGCAGCAACGCCGCGUGAGGGAUGACGGCCUUCGGGUUGUAAACCUCUUUUAGCAGGGAAGAAGCGAAAGUGACGGUACCUGCAGAAAAAGCACCGGCUAACUACGUGCCAGCAGCCGCAGUAA